AGGAAAAAACGUGAAAGGGCUGAAAAAUACUCUCGGCAGUGAAUGCAGACCUCCAGUUACACACCUACAGCCUAUGGCCACAAUUAGGGCCACAAUUUCUGUUGCUAAGCAAGGCGGUUGUUACGUGAGUUGACUUUGCUCGUUGGAAGCCAGCUAGGAGGGUUGGAAAUGGCAACCACACGACCCCCAGGAUGCUGCAACCAUUGUAAACACUUGUUGGCUGCCAAGUAUUUGAAUUUUUAUCCCAUGACCGUGGGGUGCUGCGAUGGUUGUAAGUGCGAGGACCACUGGUCGAGGCGCUCUAAUUUCAUAUACAAGAAGAGGGAGGCCACCAAUUGAGUGAGUUCCAACAGAAAUUUGAAUCGAAACAUACAAACCCCGAAGAUAAUUGAUUCAAUAAACAACAACAUGACUCAGAAAUUAAAUUGGAUUCUUUCAAGAUUCCCCUCUCCUGUCCAAAAUGCUGGAAGCUUUUUGGAAUUUGGCUCAAAAGAUUCCAGCCAGAAGGGACUGGAAGUGACACACCAGCAGCGUUAUAACACAAAGAGGGCUACAAGCCAAAUCUGUGGCUCCGCAUACACUUUGCUUCUGGGAAAAUCCACCCUGUAAUAAAAGAGCUGGUCAUGAGACGGAUUAAAAUAUAACUUGGUUGUUUCAGUUAAAUAUUGGUGAAAUAAGCUCAAGCUGAGUGAAACCAUGAUCUUAUUUAUUAGGAACGAAGCAGGCAGACUCCUGUUAAUUACAGAGCACCUGCAAUUUGUAGUUAGACAGGUAGUCCUCAACAUAUGACCACAGUUAAGACCAAAAUUUCUGCUGCUAAGUGAGACAGUUGUUAAGUGAAU